GACGAACGCUGGCGGCGUGCCUAAUACAUGCAAGUCGAACGAACCGCGACUAAGUUCUUGCACUAAGUCAAGGUGAGUGGCGAACGGGUGAGUAACACGUGGGUAACCUACCUCAUAGUGGGGGAUAACAGUCGGAAACGACUGCUAAUACCGCAUAGGACAUAGGAUCACAUGAUCCAGUGAGGAAAGGUGGCGCAAGCUAUCGCUAAGAGAUGGACCCGCGGUGCAUUAGCUAGUUGGUAGGGUAAAGGCCUACCAAGGCGAUGAUGCAUAGCCGACCUGAGAGGGUGAUCGGCCACAUUGGGACUGAGACACGGCCCAAACUCCUACGGGAGGCAGCAGUAGGGAAUCUUCCGCAAUGGACGCAAGUCUGACGGAGCAACGCCGCGUGAGUGAAGAAGGUCUUCGGAUCGUAAAGCUCUGUUGUUAGAGAAGAACAGCGCAUAGAGUAACUGCUAUGCGUGUGACGGUAUCUAACCAGAAAGCCACGGCUAACUACGUG
rnacentral:rRNA from 1 species